rnacentral:lncRNA from 1 species
GAGUCGACCGGCUGCAAUGCACGGGUAUCUUCACUAGUAUAAAAAGAAAAAUAAGAUUAGUGCAAAAACGUGGCUUGAAAUAAUUAGAUAUAAAAUUUAGGAAAAACUUUAAAUACCACCCCUAUAAUUUUGCGCUUUCUCACUUUACUACACUGUGGUUUAAAAUGUAUCACUUUCGUCUCCUAUAGUUUCAUUAUCCCCUUUGUUAAUUUUUUUAUUAAAUCAGUGACAAAGUUAAAACAACAGGGUACUAAAAUAAAUAUUCGAUAAACCAUAGGUUGGGUAUCUAAAGUUUUUUGUACAUGAUUUAAUGGAGAGUUAAUGGAGGGGUCGAUGAAAAGAGAAAAAUAAAAUCAUAGGGCACUAAAUUGACACACUUUAAAUCACAAGAUACUAAAGUGAGAAAGCACGAAACCACAUGGAUGGUAUUUCACUACAACAGAAUUAGGUUAUAGGAAUACAUGUUUGGGACACUUUUUUGUAAGUGCCCCAUUUAUACCAAAACUUUUAAAAAAAUCUACUAAUGACUAAGUAUAAAGCCCAAUCCAACAAAAAAUAAAAGGUUACUCUCCUCAACCUACCCCACCCAGCCCAUUCGGCUUGAUUACAAUCAGAAAAGAAAAAAAAAGAAAAGAAAAAUUGAUUACCAUCUCCCCUUCUCCCCUCACUCAAUUCACUGAAAUCCUAGAUGAAGAUCCCUUCCCUCUCGUCCUCCUCCGCCACCGCAGCCAACGAGGUAAAGUUCUAGCGGUUAAUAAAUGCUUAAAUAAGUGUUGAUAAAUUAACAGCACUCUUUUUAGGUUAUAGCGACACUUUUUAACUGUCACUAUAUACCUAGCGACCCCACAUGUAGCAACACUUUUUAAAAGUGUCGGUAAUUUAGCCAGUAGUAUUUUUUUUGACCUAUACCGACAUUCAAAAGUGUCGGUAUAGACCCAUUUUGUUGUAGUGUUUGAUGUUUACCCUAAAAUUAGCAACUACAAGUAAUAUUCAUCAAUGAUAAUGGCCUCUAAAGAUGAGAAGAGAAGUAUUAUUUGUAAAUCCAAAAAUUAGAUAGAAAUCUUAUAUUUAGAUAAUUUUUUUUAAUAUUUUUUAUGAGUUGGUCGGUGUGAUUGGGUGAUAUGGCAUUUAUUAUUGUUAGUAGUUUUAGUUGAUCCAUAUUAAAUAUGAU